GGUGAACGCUGGCGGCGUGCUUAACACAUGCAGGUCGAACGGAAAGGCUCCUGCUUGCAGGGGUACUCGAGUGGCGAACGGGUGAGUAACACGUGGGUGAUCUGCCCUGCACUUCGGGAUAAGCCUGGGAAACUGGGUCUAAUACCGGAUAGGACGAUGGUUUGGAUGCCAUUGUGGAAAGUUUUUUCGGUGUGGGAUGAGCUCGCGGCCUAUCAGCUUGUUGGUGGGGUAAUGGCCUACCAAGGCGUCGACGGGUAGCCGGCCUGAGAGGGUGUACGGCCACAUUGGGACUGAGAUACGGCCCAGACUCCUACGGGAGGCAGCAGUGGGGAAUAUUGCACAAUGGGCGCAAGCCUGAUGCAGCGACGCCGCGUGGGGGAUGACGGCCUUCGGGUUGUAAACUCCUUUCGCUAGGGACGAAGUGCAAGUGACGGUACCUGGAGAAGAAGCACCGGCUAACUACGUG
rnacentral:rRNA from 1 species